rnacentral:lncRNA from 1 species
GAGUCUUCAAUGAUAAAGUUGGCAAAAACGAAGAGGUGCGGCUCUGGAUUUGGAGUCUCUGGACGGCCAUGGCCGUAGUUUUUGGACGCCGAAUUGACGAAGUCCGUCCAACUUGGAGUCUUCAAUGAUAAGGUUGGCACAAACGAAGAGGUGCGGCUCAGGAUUUGGAGUCUCUGGACGGCCAUGGCCGUAGUUUUUGGACUGUGAGUCUUGAGACCUCGUCGCUUGCUUCAUCUUUGGACCGCGCAAGCUUUGGCCUAACCAUUCACCCAAGAGAGACUACUAUCAUUCGUCUAACUUGGACUUGAUCUUUAUCUCUUGCUGUACGUUAAAUUCUAAUCAAGUUUGGAACAUUUGAAUAGUCAUCAAGUUCCAUGAAAUGAGUAGGAGGGAAGCAGAAUUUUUAGUCGACAUGGCUUUGCCACAAAGUAUAGCCGACCUCCAAGUCGUAGGGAAACUUCAAUGGGUAAGGU